CUGAAACAGGAAGACAGAGCAAUGCUUGUUUGACCUCAGCUGGGAAUGUUCAAGUUGUGUGUCUCAAAUUUUUGCCGCUCCGUGCAUGUCAGUGAAUACUUAAGAGAUGUCUGCAAUCAUAGCAGCAAGAGUUGGAAAUCACUAUUGGAUGAUGAAGUUUUACAUUUUGAUUUGAAAACAAAAAUAUAAUAAUAUUCACUUUUACAAAUGUGAUGAUGUCAUGAUUAAAAAUUAUAAUAAAAUAUAGUAUUAAAUAUAAAAA